rnacentral:rRNA from 1 species
AACGCGAAGAACCUUACCAGGUCUUGACAUCCUCUGACAACCCUAGAGAUAGGGCUUUCCCCUUCGGGGGACAGAGUGACAGGUGGUGCAUGGUUGUCGUCAGCUCGUGUCGUGAGAUGUUGGGUUAAGUCCCGCAACGAGCGCAACCCUUGAUCUUAGUUGCCAGCAUUCAGUUGGGCACUCUAAGGUGACUGCCGGUGACAAACCGGAGGAAGGUGGGGAUGACGUCAAAUCAUCAUGCCCCUUAUGACCUGGGCUACACACGUGCUACAAUGGAUGGUACAAAGGGCUGCAAACCUGCGAAGGUAAGCGAAUCCCAUAAAGCCAUUCUCAGUUCGGAUUGCAGGCUGCAACUCGCCUGC